rnacentral:rRNA from 1 species
GACGAACGCUGGCGGCGUGCUUAACACAUGCAAGUCGAACGGAAAGGCCCUGCUUUUGUGGGGUGCUCGAGUGGCGAACGGGUGAGUAACACGUGAGUAACCUGCCCUUGACUUUGGGAUAACUUCAGGAAACUGGGGCUAAUACCGGAUAGGAGCUCCUGCUGCAUGGUGGGGGUUGGAAAGUUUCGGCGGUUGGGGAUGGACUCGCGGCUUAUCAGCUUGUUGGUGGGGUAGUGGCUUACCAAGGCUUUGACGGGUAGCCGGCCUGAGAGGGUGACCGGCAACAUUGGGACUGAGAUACGGCCCAGAAUACUACGGGAGGCAGCAGUGGGGAAUAUUGCACAAUGGGCGGAAGCCUGAUGCAGCAACGCCGCGUGCGGGAUGACGGCCUUCGGGUUGUAAACCGCUUUCGCCUGUGACGAAGCGUGAGUGACGGUAAUGGGUAAAGAAGCACCGGCUAACUACGUG